CCUAAGGUAGCGAAAUUCCUUGUCGGGUAAGUUCCGACCUGCACGAAUGGCAUAAUGAUGGCCAGGCUGUCUCCACCCGAGACUCAGUGAAAUUGAAAUCGCCGUGAAGAUGCGGUGUACCCGCGGCUAGACGGAAAGACCCCGUGAACCUUUACUAUAGCUUGACACUGAACAUUGAAUUUUGAUGUGUAGGAUAGGUGGGAGACUUAGAAGAUGAUACGCCAGUAUUGUUGGAGUCGUCCUUGAAAUACCACCCUUUAACGUUUGAUGUUCUAACGAAGAUUACGAAACGUGGUCUCGGACAGUGUCUGGUGGGUAGUUUGACUGGGGCGGUCUCCUCCCAAAGAGUAACGGAGGAGCACGAAGGUUUGCUAAUCACGGUCGGACAUCGUGAGGUUAGUGCAAUGGUAUAAGCAAGCUUAACUGCGAGACAGACAAGUCGAGCAGGUACGAAAGUAGGUCAUAGUGAUCCGGUGGUUCCGCAUGGAAGGGCCAUCGCUCAACGGAUAAAAGGUACUCCGGGGAUAACAGGCUGAUACCGCCCAAGAGUUCAUAUCGACGGCGGUGUUUGGCACCUCGAUGUCGGCUCAUCACAUCCUGGGGCUGAAGUAGGUCCCAAGGGUAUGGCUGUUCGCCAUUUAAAGUGGUACGCGAGCUGGGUUUAGAACGUCGUGAGACAGUUCGGUCCCUAUCUGCCGUGGGCGUUGGAAGAUUGACGGGGGCUGCUCCUAGUACGAGAGGACCGGAGUGGACGCACCUCUGGUGUACCGGUUGUCACGCCAGUGGCAUUGCCGGGUAGCUAAGUGCGGAAGAGAUAACCGCUGAAAGCAUCUAAGCGGGAAACUUGCCUGAAGAUGAGUCUUCCCGGAGGUUGAACCUCCCUCAAGAGUCGUCCGAGACCAGGACGUCGAUAGGUCAGGUGUGUAAGCGCUGUAAGGCGUUGAGCUAACUGAUACUAAUUGCUCGUGAGGCUUGAUCCU
rnacentral:rRNA from 1 species